ensembl:lncRNA
CUGCCGGCCAAGCCCGCUACAGUCCGGCGUCCAGGGCAGCUGUUCUCUUUAUACCCAGGACGAGAGCAGAAGAAUGGUGUCCUGCAAAACAGAAGGGCACAGGGUCCUUAAGAGCCCCUGGCAAUGGGAAAUACAAGUGCUGCCAUACCCUGAACUCAACUGUCAACCUUUUAAACUUCCGGCUGAAUGGGCGAAGAGGAGGCGGGUCAGGUGCCGGGAGGGCCAGUUGGCACGUUUACCUCCAGACACCAUUUCCAAGGAGGCAUUAGCAGCUUCCUAUCUGAACAAACAGGAAGCCUAUUAAAAACGCCAUUGUCCUUUCCCGCCUGUGCUGACAAGACUGUUAAAUGCCAAGUCUACAGAGCUUUGCCAAGUUGAGAGACCCAGGGGACGUGCAGCUGCUGGGGCCACCUGUGUCUGUCUGAGUCCAGCUGAGAGAUUUCCUCUUUGGGCACCCCAUUGUGGAGUGACGGGUCCCACGGAGUGAGGGGCAGGCAGAGGACUGAAGGAGGGAGGGGUGGAAGAGAGCGGUUCGCCCGUUGCCGACGGCUGAGAGCACGCAGCCAGUUCCCCUUCUCGCUCUGCUCUGCUCAGUCAGGAAUUCGGCUCUGCCCGCCACCCGGGUCUCGGAAACGUUCUGGCUGGGAAUCAAGUCCAAGAUGAAACACCUGCCUUCCACUGCCGUCCCACACGCACAAUGCACCACAUGCCAGUUGGCAGUGGAGCGAAAGAGGCCCAUUAAAGAAAAGUUCCUGACAUUAUUAAGAAGUGCAGUCCUGCCAUUGUGCGUGCAUGCUCUCUCUCUCUCUCACACACGCUCUCUCUCUCACACACACACACGCACUCUACAGGCCUCUAAAGCUUUGUGCAUGUCCCAUGUCCCUGGCUACUUCACUGUCAAUCAAACACUGAAUAAGAGAGAGAGCCCUCUCCUCUGUGGAUAACAGAGGGAGACGGGAGGAUCAGACAGAGAGAAGGAGAUGUGACCACGGAAGAAGAGGAUGGAGCCAUGUUGGGCCACAAGCCAAGGAAUACAGGAAGCUUCUAGAAGCUGGAAAAGGCAAGGAAAUGGAUUAUCCACUAGAGCCUCCAGAAGGAAUGCCGGCCCACCGACACCUUGAUCUUAGCCCAGGAAAACUGAUUUGGGACGUCUGACCUCCAAAACUAGGCUGGGCUAGCCUUACUACACAUGGAGGAGGUCGGGUGGCACUCAGGAUGCUGAAAGAACAAGAAAUAUGGCACUAAAACUAGAAGUGGAUUAUGCUACUUAACGGCUGAAAACUGAGGACUGGAAACUUGUAUCUCUACCUUCGAUCUGUGUUGUCAAGCAUUGAUCACUUGAAAUGCGGCUAGUGCAGCUGAAGACUGGAUUUUCAAUUCUGUUUAUUUUAUGAAAUUUAAGCUUAAAUCUUAAAAUGAUACACACUUGACUUAUUGGGAAGCUUUUAAGUAUUUUAGAACAACUUGGCCACAUGAAUCUACUUUUUCAAUUGUACGUUUUAUAAAAUCUAAAUACAGAUUAAGCAUUUCUGAUAAAAAUUUAGCGUCUAAAUUGAGAUGUGCCAGAUUUUGAAGACUUAGUAUGAGAAAAAGAAUAACAUAUCUCAUUAAUAAUUUUAUAUUAAUUGUGUGUUGAAAUAAGAAUAUUUUGGAUAUAUUGGACUAAAUUAAAAUAUAUUAUUAACAUUAAUUUCACCUGUUUCUUUUUACCUUUUUCUGAUAUGGCUACUAGAAAAUUUAAAAUUAUGUAGUGGGCCACAUUGUUUCCAUUGGCCAGCACUGCCUUGAAUGAUCAUUGUUAUUCUUCCUAAACACAUCUUGAGCAAGAUCGGAAAUUUUUGAUCACUUCUUAUGAACAUGUCUUCCAAUUUUUUUUUCCCCAGGAAUAUUAGCCCUGAACUCACAUCUGCUGCCAAUCUUCCUCUUUUUGCUGAGGAAGACUGGCCCUGAGCUAACAUCCAUGCCCAUCUUCCUCUACUUUAUAUGUGGGACAACUGCCACGGUAUGGCUUGAUAAGCAAUGUGUAGGUCUGUGCCUGGGAUCCAAACCAGUGAACCCGGGGCCCCGAAGCGGAAGAAUAGAGUGUCUCCAUGCCACCUGCUCAUCACCACUCUGCACUCUGAUCUUGAUUUAUUAAGUGGAGCUCAAACCAUUGCUCUUUACAGAAGAUCUAUAGCUCAGAGAUGCUGAACUACACAGGAAUUGAAACAAGACCGGGAAGAGCGGAAGGAAACGGCUUAUCUCUUCGACAUCUUUUUCCAAUUGUUAGUUCAUUGUUUUGGGUUGUUAAUGCUCCUGUAAUCUCCCGCGUCUUCAGAUCCAGUUUCCUGCUGACAGGGUGAAGGCUGCAAAAACUCUCCGGGCUUUGAGAUAAAGCAUCCCAAGCUGGAUCAGGAGCUACGCAUACUUUCUCCCUCGAGCCUUCUCUUAAAUGUUUGGAACUCUAGAACUCCUUCCUUGAGAAUGAGGAAAAGCAAACAUCACAGGUUGUGACUUUGGAAGCCUGUAAACCGAGCUUUUUGUUGACUCUGGUGGGAGUAAGGCCUUGAACUGCACUGGUCUGGUAAUUUCUUUACUGCAGCGGACAUUCACUGAGCUGCUACUAUGUGGCACCAGCCAGGGCUGCAGGCGAGGCACAGAGAAACCUGAUGGGGUCCUGCCUACAGGAGCUCGCUUGUAAAACAGUCGGAGGCAAAUACCAGCAGUCUUCUAAGACCCCACAAUACACUGCGUCAGAUAACCCUGCUCGACACUCUUCCAGCAGCCUGUUGCUUCCUGGUAUCUUACAUUAAAAAAAUACAUUUAUACAUUUACUUCUGUAAUGAUUACUG